AUACAUGACCGACGCGAGUCAAAGCGUAGUAUCUGUUCUUAUCAGCUUAAUGUCUGAUACGGGCUCUAUUUGGACCCAAGAUAUUAAACUUAUUUUUGCAAGUUGGCGGAGGGCUUGAAGCCUGUUUCACCGCUGCCGUGGCUGGACCCGGUAUUAUACUAUUUCCGGGAUCGGCCCACAGUU